rnacentral:rRNA from 1 species
GGGUGGUAAUGCCGGAUGUUCCACAUGAUCGCAUGUGAUUGUGGGAAAGAUUCUAUCGGCGUGGGAUGGGGUCGCGUCCUAUCAGCUUGUUGGUGAGGUAACGGCUCACCAAGGCUUCGACGGGUAGCCGGCCUGAGAGGGCGACCGGCCACAUUGGGACUGAGAUACGGCCCAGACUCCUACGGGAGGCAGCAGUGGGGAAUAUUGCACAAUGGGCGCAAGCCUGAUGCAGCGACGCCGCGUGAGGGAUGGAGGCCUUCGGGUUGUAAACCUCUUUUGUUUGGGAGCAAGCCUUCGGGUGAGUGUACCUUUCGAAUAAGCGCCGGCUAACUACGUGCCAGCAGCCGCGGUAAUACGUAGGGCGCAAGCGUUAUCCGGAUUUAUUGGGCGUAAAGGGCUCGUAGGCGGCUCGUCGCGUCCGGUGUGAAAGUCCAUCGCUUAACGGUGGAUCUGCGCCGGGUACGGGCGGGCUGGAGUGCGGUAGGGGAGACUGGAAUUCCCGGUGUAACGGUGGAAUGUGUAGAUAUCGGGAAGAACACC